rnacentral:lncRNA from 1 species
GUCGGAAAGUUUGGGAAUUUUUUGGGAAUUUUUUGGGAUUUUUUUCCAGGUUUUCUGGUGAUUUUUGGUGAUUUUUGGGGUUUUUUUGGGAGUUUCUUGGUGGUUUUUGGCGGUUUCGGGAUGGUUUCCCACCUAAAAGUUCUUGAGAUGUUCCUUGGAGCAGCACCAGAGAAAGGGUUAGGAGAGGUUGGGAAUUUUUUGGGGAUUUUUUGGGAUUUUUUGGGGGUUUUGUGGUGGUUUUUGGUGGUUUUGGGAUGGUUUCCCACCUAAAAGUUCUUGAGAUGUUCCUGGGAGCAGCACCAGAGAAAGGGUUAGGAGAGGUUGGGAAUUUUUUUGGGUUUUUUUGGGAGUUUCUUUGUGGUUUUUGGUGGUUUCGCGAUGGUUUCCCACCUAAAAGUUCUUGAGAUGUUCCUUGGAGCAGCAGGAGAGAAAGGGUUAGGAGAGGUUGGGAAUUUUUUGGGAAUUUUUUGGGAUUUUUUUGUGGAUUUUUUGGGAAUUUUUUUGGCAUUUUUUUGGGUUUUUUGAGGGUUUUGUGGUGGUUUUUGGCAGUUUCGGGAUGGUUGCCCACCUAAAAGUUCUUGAGAUGUUCCUUGGAGAGCCACCAACGAGAGUGUGGGCAUAGAUGUGAGAUGGAGAAUGGAUUUUUGGAAUUUUUUGGGAUAUUUUUGGGGAUUUUUUGGGACUUUUUGGGAAUUUUGUUGGGAUUUUUGAUGGGUUUUUUUGGGGCAUUUUUGGGAUUUUUGAUGGUUUUUUGGGUUUUGUGGUGGGUUUUGGCGGUUUCAGGUUGGUUUCCCACCUAAAAGUUCUCCCAAAUUUCCACUCUUGAUUUUCCAUUUUUAUCCCAAAUUUCCACUCUGAUUUUCCACUUUUAUCCCAAAUUUCCCACUCUGAUUUCCCAUUUCUCUCCCAAAUUUUCCCAUUUUUAUCCCAAAUUUCCCACUCUGAUUUCCCAUUUCUCUCCCAAAUUUUCCCAUUUCUCUCCCAAAUUUCCCACGUCGUUUUUCCACAUUUAUCCCAAAUUUCCCACAUUGAUUUUCCACAUUUAUCCCAAAUUUCCAACUUCGGUUUCCCAUUUCUCUCCCAAAUUUCCCACCUUUCCCACCUCUCUCACCCCACCAAAAUUCCUAAAUAAUACCCAAAAAAUCAAAAAAAAUCCCAAAAAUCCCCAAAAAAUCCCCAAAAAUUCCCCCAAAAUUCCCCAAAUUCCCGGAAUUCCGCGUUUUCCGCAGGGUGACGCGGUGCAAGUUCCAGCGGAUCGGCUGCCC